rnacentral:rRNA from 1 species
AGAGUUUGAUCCUGGCUCAGGAUGAACGCUGGCGGCGUGCUUAACACAUGCAAGUCGAACGGGAUCCAUCAAGCUUGCUUGGUGGUGAGAGUGGCGAACGGGUGAGUAAUGCGUGACCGACCUGCCCCAUACACCGGAAUAGCUCCUGGAAACGGGUGGUAAUGCCGGAUGUUCCAGUUGAUCGCAUGGUCUUCUGGGAAAGCUUUCGCGGUAUGGGAUGGGGUCGCGUCCUAUCAGCUUGACGGCGGGGUAACGGCCCACCGUGGCUUCGACGGGUAGCCGGCCUGAGAGGGCGACCGGCCACAUUGGGACUGAGAUACGGCCCAGACUCCUACGGGAGGCAGCAGUGGGGAAUAUUGCACAAUGGGCGCAAGCCUGAUGCAGCGACGCCGCGUGAGGGAUGGAGGCCUUCGGGUUGUAAACCUCUUUUAUCGGGGAGCAAGCGAGAGUGAGUUUACCCGUUGAAUAAGCACCGGCUAACUACGUGCCAGCAGCCGCGGUAAUACGUAGGGUGCAAGCGUUAUCCGGAAUUAUUGGGCGUAAAGGGCUCGUAGGCGGUUCGUCGCGUCCGGUGUGAAAGUCCAUCGCUUAACGGUGGAUCCGCGCCGGGUACGGGCGGGCUUGAGUGCGGUAGGGGAGACUGGAAUUCCCGGUGUAACGGUGGAAUGUGUAGAUAUCGGGAAGAACACCAAUGGCGAAGGCAGGUCUCUGGGCCGUUACUGACGCUGAGGAGCGAAAGCGUGGGGAGCGAACAGGAUUAGAUACCCUGGUAGUCCACGCCGUAAACGGUGGAUGCUGGAUGUGGGGCCCGUUCCACGGGUUCCGUGUCGGAGCUAACGCGUUAAGCAUCCCGCCUGGGGAGUACGGCCGCAAGGCUAAAACUCAAAGGAAUUGACGGGGGCCCGCACAAGCGGAGGAACAUGUGGUUUAAUUCGAUGAUACGCGAGGAACCUUACCCGGGCUUGAACUGAGGGGGAAUGAGCCAGAGAUGACUCAGUCUUCGGACUCCCUUGGAGGUGCUGCAUGGUUGUCGUCAGCUCGUGCCGUGAGGUGUCGGCUUAAGUGCCAUAACGAGCGCAACCCUCAUCCUCGUUUGCCAUCAGGUAAUGCUGGGCACUCCGGGGAUACUGCCAUCGUAAGAUGUGAGGAAGGUGGGGAUGACGUCA